CCUAUUUGUCUUACCUAAUUCUUUUUAAAAAAAUAAUUAUCACCAGACGGUAAAUAUUUCUUGAGCUGAUUCUCAAUUGCACUGAAUAAGAAUGUCUGGCCCAGCAGUUUGAAAUUUCAUCAAGCAUCUUAUUAAAUACAACCAUAACUGACAUUCCAAUCACUAUUGUUAGCCUGAUGAAAUCAAAGCUAAUAUUUUCUGGUUUCCCCAGAACUCUGUCAUUAUCUGGCAUUUCAAGCAGCCGAAAGCUCUGCUUUUAUAAUGUGUUUAAUGAUUGCGCUCGAGGGAAGAGGGAGAGUCUUCAGGUAAAGGUGGCACUGCUAUUAGGUGCUAGAUGAAGGGGCUGAGAACCUCAUGAAUUCUGCAAUAGAAAGCUGCUGGCAUAUUCGUGUCUACAGAGUCCCCGCUGUCUUUGUGUUUGGAAUUUAAAACUAUUCCCCAGAUAUCAUCAUCAUCAUCAUCACCAUCAUCAUCAUCAUCGUCGUCGUCAUUUUGAGGCCAAAUCAAAACAAAAGAAACCUGAAUGAGGAUAGACUCCGUCACUGAGGAGCUCUGCUUUGUUGCUGGGAGGUGGCUUCAUGACCGGCAGCUGUUUCCUGGUUAGGUGACAAAAACCCUUCGACCUGUCAGCAACUGGGAGAAGAUGAGAAACGGCCUCAUUACAGGGCCAGAUAAGGAAGUGUUAUGGUUUCUAUCUGUAAGGUCCCUCAAAGCUCAAGUGCUAAAGGAGCUUUGGAGGAAGUGACUGGCUCGUGAGAGUUCUGACUUCAUCAGUGGAUUAACGCAUUAAUAGCAGAAUGCACCACUGGGAGGUGGUGGAAACUGUAGGCAGGAAGGGCAUGGUUGGAGGACUAGGUCACCAGGAGCAUAGCCUUUCGGGCUAUAUUUUGUCCCUGUCCCUUUUCUCUCUGUCUCUGUUUCCCAAAUGCCUCUGCUAUUGCCAUAGUCUUCUGCCAUAAAUCUUCUUAUUGGAUUUUCUUUUUUUUUUUUUCAGAAUCUCUAUAUCUUCCUUGAAGUGAUCUAUUGCUACCUGUACUUGCUCCCUUAUCUCUUUGUUGGUGUGAUCAAUGGUUGCCUGUUUUUGCUCUCUUAUCUCUUUGUUGGAGGGAUUCCUUUCUGCCUGUGUGUGCUCUCUGAUGUCAUUCUUUAAUUCGGAGAUCAUUUUAAUUAUGUACGUUCUGAACUCCUUCUCUGGCAUUUCAUCAACUCACUGGGUUCUAUUACUGUCGUGUCUCGGUUUGUUUGGGGGAACUUUCUUCCCUUGUUUCUUCAUGUUGUUCAUGUGUCUCCCUUUCUUGCAGGGCGGAUCUGAGGUAUGACCGUUUUUACCCUAUAAUCUGUAGUGUCCCUGCAGAUUACCUGUACCUCACUAUGGUGCUGGGGUUCUAUCCCCCAGCUGGUGUCCCAAGAUGGACGCUACUGCACAACUAAAAAUGGUGGCGGCAAUAGCAGAAGUACCUCAAGAUAGCAGUGGGGUGUCCCAAGAUGGCUGCAACCACUUUCAGAGAUGGGGCUGAAAGGGUGGGCCAGAAAAUGGCUUUGGGCUGCCUGUUUGGAGAAGCAGCUGCCUCCACGCUCUGUCUGUUGUCCCAAGGUGGAGGCUACUACGUGGGAAGGGCUAUGUCGGAAGGGCUAUGUUGAUGGCUUCUGUUUCCCAAGGUGGAGGCAGGCUGGGGGAGCAACAUGUUGGUAAAGGGGAGCCCCAGUGUGGUCCUCCACUCUAUGCAGGAGCAGUUCUGGACCUGAGCUCUCACACAGGACAGUGGGGGCCGUCGUGGACCUGACCUGGGCCUGGACUCUGCUUUUCUGCCAUGAUCUUCUCUAUCACCUUAGGUGCAAAGCAAUGGUGCCAGUUGACCUCCAACUAAAACCUCUGAUUCCAUGAGCCAAAAUCCACCUUUCCUCCUCUGAGUUGUUCUUGUUAGGUAUUUUGGCCACAGGGAUGAAAAGCUGACUGACAAAAGAAACGAGGGAGGAACGUCCCUGAAGAAUCUUCUCCAAAGUCUCAUGCAUGCAUGUUCCAGAAGGAUUCAAGAUAUUCCACCAAGACAGGAAACACCAGCCAAGGCGCCGACACCCAAGAGAGAGGGGAAUCCGGGGAGUCCUCUCUGAAGUCAGUAUUCGUCAUGAAAGGGGUACUCAGGGUGAUCACACCACCUGCCAAAACAGUUUUACCAGAGGAAAACGGUUCACUCAGCUGCGAGAAUCUCAUGACCUCCCCCACCUCCUGCACUGGCCUGUUUCUCUUCCCCCAGUUCCCCUCUGGCCAGCACCUUUACUGGGGGCUCUGGCAGCACCCUGGAUGUGAGAGUAGGAGGCAGGGGAGAGGGACAGGGUGUGGAAGGACUGGCUGCCACCACAUUGGCCUUCCGCUAUGAACCAAAGCACAGCGCCGAGUUGGCAUGUGAAGUAUUAUUAUUACCUGCCCAGGUGCUAGGGUUUAGAUGUGCCGUCCCCCAAAAGCUCAUGUGUGAGGCAAUGCAAGAAAGUUCAGAGGAGAACUGAUUGGGUUGUGAGAGUCUUUACCCUGUCAGAGAAUUAAUCCCCUGACAGGGAUUAACUGAGUGGCAUCUGAAGUAGUAGGAUGUGGCUGGAGGAGGUGGGAACUGGGACGUGGCUUUGGGGGGUAUAUUUGCAUCUGGAUAGUAAAGUCUCUCUGCUUCUUGAUCACCAGGUGAGCUGCUUCCCUCUGCCAUACUCUUCCUCCAUGAUGGAGCUGGCUGUAUAUGGACUGAGACCUCUGAAACUAUGAGCCCUUGAAUAAAUUUUUCCUCCUCUACAAUUGUUCUGGUUGUGUCUAAGUCACAGCAGCAAGAAAGCGUAUUAAAACACCACUUUUGCAUGUGAAGUCUUAUUUUGUGCUGAUGGUGAUGCUCUUAUCUCUUAAAUAACAACAGUGAAAGAGUCUAUAGAAAUGUGGAGUAUGUGUGUGUCCUUGUCAUUGAACAGCCAAGAUCCAGUUCUCCGCAAGUACCACGAACACUAAAAGGUAUUUUCUAAAAAGGCUCUCAAAUGUCAAUGAUCAACUGAAUGCAAACCAGAAAAGAUGCAUGGCCCAGCACUCUUAAAUAAUACUUUUUUGAUUAAUGGAGGCUAGUCUUUGUUUUAGCUUAUUUAUUUCUCCAGUUGGAUGAGUUAUUUUGCCCUCAAUAUUGUUAAAACUCAUAUUCAAUGUAUCAAAUGUUAAAUAAUGUCACCACCUGCCUGUU